AAUUAAUAUUGAAAGCUCCGGCGGAUAGAGAUGGGCACGCGCAAGAUUAGCUAGUUGGUGAGGUAACGGCUCACCAAGGCGAUGAUCUUUAGGGGGCCUGAGAGGGUGAUCCCCCACACUGGUACUGAGACACGGACCAGACUCCUACGGGAGGCAGCAGUGAGGAAUAUUGGUCAAUGGGUGCAAGCCUGAACCAGCCAUCCCGCGUGAAGGACGACUGCCCUAUGGGUUGUAAACUUCUUUUGUAUAGGGAUAAACCUACCCUCGUGAGGGUAGCUGAAGGUACUAUACGAAUAAGCACCGGCUAACUCCGUGCCAGCAGCCGCGGUGAUACGGAGGGUGCAAGCGUUAUCCGGAUUUAUUGGGUUUAAAGGGUCCGUAGGCGGACUUAUAAGCCAGUGGUGAAAGCCUGUCGCUUAACGAUAGAACUGCCAUUGAUACUGUAAGUCUUGAGUAUAUUUGAGGUAGCUGGAAUAAGUAGUGUAGCGGUGAAAUGCAUAGAUAUUACUUAGAACACCAAUUGCGAAGGCAGGGUUACCAAGAUAUAACUGACGCUGAGGGACGAAAGCGUGGGGAGCGAACAGGAUUAGAUACCCUGGUAGUCCACGCCGUAAACGAUGCUAACUCGUUUUUGGGCUUUAGGGUUCAGAGACCAAGCGAAAGUGAUAAGUUAGCCACCUGGGGAGUACNCUCGCAAGANUGAAACUCAAAGGAAUUGACGGGGGCCCGCACA
rnacentral:rRNA from 1 species